rnacentral:tRNA from 1 species
GGAUAUAGCUCAGCGGUAGAGUGCUUGCCUAGCAUGCAUAAGGCCCUGGAUUCAAUCCCCAGCACCA